CGAUGUACCAGGGUCAAAAGGUCGGGAGUCCGAUGCAAACUUGCUUGCAGGAGGAUUUGUGACCUUGGGACCCGCCAAAAACAUGAGUAAGAAGCCAUUUUUUGAAGAAAAAUGAGCGGAUUACGAAUGUUUUUAGUAUUACGGAAGUGCAAAGCACGUAGCANUUCGGUAUCA
rfam:Human gut metagenome DNA, contig sequence: In-R_034003.